UUCCAUUUCGCAAUGCUCAGGUGCCCUGACCUGCAUCACUUUGUACAUCGAGAACUGUCUCAGCUCAGACAGAGCAGAGAAGCUCAGCAUCCAGUUCUGCUUCAACCUGCUCUACGCCCAGACAGAUACCAUGGUGGUGCUUGUCUGCCAGGUGCAGACAGAUACCAUGAUGUCUUGUAGAACAGAGGAUGAGGUAGGGUCCUCUUAAUUCAUUACAAGUCUGAUGCUUGCUGCUUCUGUCUAGGGGCACGAAAGCUGUGAUUCUGAGCAGGAUGUCUGUCACUAGGUGACAGGUUUAUCCUCCCUGAAGCAAUACUCCUCAUCCCACCUUCUGAAGCCUUGACACUGUUCAGGGAAGCACUUGCCAUACUCAGGGCACUCCAGUGCAAGCAGAGAAUUCUGGUUACUGUCUCUGCUGCCAGAAAUGCUUGCAUAUAUUACUGUUUAAUUGCCAAACACAACUCAUCUUAGGGGCAGGAACCACAGCUCACAACUCCCCCUUCCUCACAAGUGCCCUAAGCAUUAGCUUACAGUCCUGCAGCUUUUUUGUUUCUUUGUAUUCAUGCUUUUAAUUAAUUUUGGUUUGGUGGCACACAUUCAAGAGGAGAGGGGAAGGGUGUUCUUUCAGGAUAAGCGGUUGCCUUGAAAAUAGGACGUGUGGAUUUGAAUUCUCUCAGAUUGAGAAAGGAACUGAAUGUAAAUCUCCUGCUUUCUAUGCACAGGCUGUAACCACCCACUGCUGGGAAAGGUGCACACCUGACACACCCAGCAAGCCAUACCCAGCUCCUUGAAGGAAUGCACCUUGGAAGCGUCCCCAGGGCAGAGCCAGGACCAAGUUCCAGCAGGAAGGCUUCUCCCUGAAGCUUGAAGUAGGACAUUUCACUUAGCUGAUGGGCACUGAAAUGGAGGCUUUGGGGCAGACCAAAGGAGCUGAUGGAUCAACCUCAGCAGCCUGCUCAUUACACUUCCUACAUGACCAGGACUGGGCAGGAUUUUCUGCACAGCAUGUUCCUGUUCCCCAGCCUCACAAGGCAAAUUAAAGUACAUCCAAUUAAGACACAGAGGAAGCUUCAGCUAGAAGGAAAUAACCUAAUUUGUAUUUCACUAGGACAUGAGGGUGAUACAUCCAUCUUUAUUAAAGCAAACAGAAAAAGGAUAACAAUGCUCUACAGUCCAGGGCCACAACACAACCCUUACUGUAAAUAGAGGGUUUAAAUAUUAUUCUUAGAAGGAUCAUCUUUUAAAGAGUUGCCAGAACCCUCACUGUCCAGUACUAAUGUCCUCUGACAUGUGGGCAGUUGUAUUUGUUUAAAUGAUUUGGGUUUGUGACAACCUUUGUCCCCAGUGAAGGGUCAUCCCCAACACACCCCAUUAUAGUUUGCUGUGCGUAUUUCACACCUUGCAAUCCUUCCUUUGCUGGUCAUUUUUGCAGCACUAUAUUUCAAUACUGCUCUCAUCAACUGGUUUCCUGUCAUAACCUUAGGAAUCAUAUAAUUGUUUAGGUUGGAAGACAUUUAAGAUCACCAAGUCCAACUGCAAACCUAACACUGCCAAGUCCAGCACUAACCAUGUCUCUGCAUGCAUCUACAUGUCUUUUAACCACCUCCAGGGAAGGUGACUCCACCACUUCCCUGGGCAGCCUGUUCCAAUGCUUGACAACCCUUUUGGUGAAGGAAUUUUUUCCAAUAUCCAAUCUAAACUUUCCCUGGUGCAGCUUGAGGCUGUUUCCUCUCUCCCUGGACUGUAUUCCACCAUCUCCCAGUUGCAGAACAGUUUCAUGAAGAGGAGCACGGAUGUGAGGGAAAUCAGUGCCCACCAAGAGGGAAGAGACGUGCACAUGCUGAUGCCUGGGCACAGCCACAUCACUUGGUCCUUCCCAGUGCUGUGUAGUUGCUCAGCAAAGCAGUAGGGCUUGCUUUGCUUACUGCAUGCAUUUUCAAAAGAGGACUACUACUGCUGUUAGAGAUGUCUAUACCACACAGCAGGGUGGGAAGGGAUUUGCAGUGAAAGUGAGUAACACUGUUGUAAACCUUUUAUAACUUCCCGCCUAAGGCCUCAAAGCAUUUCCCAGCUGCUACUGUAGUCGCAGGAGCUCCCCAGAACAUGGCAUUCCUGAGCACGGGGGCUCCCACAGCAUACCCAGAGUGGCUGCUCACCCCUAUGACAUCUUAAUGUGAACUCCUUUCUGGUGCUGAGAUGUUUUGGUUUUAGCUCUGGCCGGGAACAUUUUGGUUGCAUCAGUGCAGAGCUAUUCUGUUCCAUGGGCAGCCUCCCAGACUAAUGCAUGAGAUUUAAAAGCUUACUUAGUAAA